AAUGUAUCGCAUCACUGGGAAGCAAAAAUCUUUAGUUUUUAUUCCUUUAACUCUCAGAAAUAUUUUGAAAUGAAGUGAUGGUUGUUUCUUUGUUGCUAGUCAAUUCUUAUUUUAAUUCAGUUUAUCAAAAGAUGAUAGGAGGUUUGCAAAGUAUAUGUAGAUAUACUUAGAAAGGGAAAAAGAAACUAAGAAAAAAUAUAUAGAAAAGUUUUGCUGCUGGAGAUUGCAGCUUCCCUUGGGGUUCAGUUAGGAUGAUAGAUAAGGAAAUGAACCACAUAUCCAUAUCUACAUCGCUUUGAAUUUAAAGUUGUAUUUCAGCAAAGUCUUAUCCCCAUACUUGUUUGGAAUCGAUCCUCCAAUUUCUCUCAACCUAUCAAAGCCAUCUGUAAGGUUAAAGAACAAAGAUUCAAAUUCAUUUUUCUUAUAAAAACUAUGCUAAUUGUCUACUUGCAUUGACUUGCUUCGCAGCAUGUACAAUCACCAACUUUUUUUUAGGGAACCUGAGAUUAUUAGCCGUGUAAAGCUAAGCCUUAGUCACAAUAAAAUUUAGGAUGGGCUAAAUGGAUUUUUUGCCAUUCUAUUUGGUUUAUCACAACUAGAUUCUUCGCAGCUCCCACAGGCCAUAGAGUGCUUCUAAAUAUUAAGAUAUAUAAUUUCUACAAGUCAAACUGGAAAAUGCUUUUGGUAUAAAGACUUUAUCCACUUGUCUUUAUAGCAAAAGCAUUUUCUCUUCAGUACUCAUAAACAGUUAGGGUCUUCUCUUCAGUACACAUAAAUAGCUGUGUGGCACUUGUUUAUUUAUUGAUAUACUUUAGCACGCCAUGCAACAGUUUGGGAAACUCACAUAUUAUCAUUAAUAUUUAUCUGGUAUUUAGACAACUUCUCGGAGGCUUGCUGAUAGGAAGGUGGAGAGGUUUCAGAAAAACAUUACCAAGCGCGGGGCUAUCCCUGAAACUGGCACCAAGAAGGGAAACAAAUAUCCUGUUGGUCCUAUCUUGAUUGGGUUCUUCAUUUUUGUCGUCAUUGGAUCAUGUAAGAUUUUAUUUUCUCCUUCGUUAUAGCUCUCUCGAUUAUUAAUAUCCAUCUCAUUUCCUUGCUUUGAUUUUAUUGGUCUUUUUUGCUUCUGUUGAUGUCAUAUCCCCUAAUACUGACCAUUCUUGGGAACUAGAUAUUAGUAACUAUGAUAUAUUUCUGUUUAUGUGUACUGAAGAGAAGACCCUAACAGAAAAAAUCAAGUUCCUGAACUAAACUAUACGCUUUGAAGAGUCUUUUGAAAAAUUGUUUCUAAAAGUCUUUGUAGUUAUUGAUGGGAAUCGGAGUUUCUUUGGGACAUUUCCAAGAGGGUUGUCUGGACCUAACAACUAAAUAAAUAUUAAUUAUUAUAAAUUUUUAUGUUCUUGCUUAAUUAAAAACUGCCUUGUGGUCUAAAUAUAGUAUCAUGAAAAUUGGCAAGUACCUGGUCACUGAACCAGCAAUUGUGAAACUUAAAUUAAGUUGCAGAUCAUCUAACUUUUCCGGUGUGUUUGUAGCCAUCCAUUUUUUAGCUUUUUGAUAAAGGAGGACAAUCCGAUUGAAGCAUGCAACAUAUUAGUUGUGCUAUAUAUGUGUGCUUUUCCAUUCGGUUAUAGGUUAUACUUGUAUUUGGUGUGUUAUACUACCGUUCAGUGCUUAAAGUAAACGAGUGAUGUGCUGUUGAACGGCCUAAUUCUGCUCUGCUAUUUUUUGCAUUGUUUCCAUAUUUCUCCAAAUUUCAAGUUGGCUAAUGCUCCUUUCUACCCUUUGUCUGUCUCUUCUUCCAGCUUUAUUCCAAAUAAUCAGGACUGCAACAAGUGGAGGCAUGGCUUAACCAGUAAUCAUGAUCUUUGAUACAGAUGAUAGCGGGUUGUUAUUGUAUUUUUUGGGUUAGUAGCAUCAAUAUUGAAACGCCAGAGAACCUUCAUUAGUUCAGAAUUUAAUCUUCGAAAACUCAUUAAAUAUUAAUAAGAAUAUCCUAUUCUAUUCCAGUUUUUGUUUUUCUUAUCUUUAUUAUGUUAUCAGAUGACUUGCUGUG
rnacentral:lncRNA from 1 species